AGAACGAACGUUAGCGGCGCGCCUAAUACAUGCAAGUCGUGCGAGAAAGGGCUUCGGCCCCCGGUAAAGCGGCGCACGGGUGAGUAACACGUAGGUGAUCUCCCCUCGAGUGGUGGAUAACCCUCCGAAAGGAGAGCUAAUACAGCAUAAGACCACGACCUCGCUGAGGUUGCGGUCAAAGUAGGCCUCUACAUGUAAGCUUACGCUUGAGGAUGGCCUG
rnacentral:rRNA from 1 species